rnacentral:rRNA from 1 species
GACGAACGCUGGCGGCGUGCUUAACACAUGCAAGUCGAACGGUGAAGGGGUCUGCUUUUGUGGGCCCUGGAUGAGUGGCGAACGGGUGAGUAACACGUGAGUAACCUGCCCCCUUCUUCUGGAUAACCGCAUGAAAGUGUGGCUAAUACGGGAUAUUCUGGGUCUGUCGCAUGAUGGGUCUGGGAAAGAUUGCGCCUUUGGGUGUUUUUGGUGGGGGAUGGGCUCGCGGCCUAUCAGCUUGUUGGUGGGGUGAUGGCCUACCAAGGCGGUGACGGGUAGCCGGCCUGAGAGGGUGGACGGUCACACUGGGACUGAGACACGGCCCAGACUCCUACGGGAGGCAGCAGUGGGGAAGAUUGCACAAUGGGAGCAAGCCUGAUGCAGCGACGCCGCGUGAGGGAUGGAGGCCUUCGGGUUGUAAACCUCUUUCGCCAGUGAAGCAGGCCUGCUCCGUGUGGGUGGGUUGACGGUAGCUGGAUAAGAAGCGCCGGCUAACUACGUG